GAUUAUGGCUCAGGAUGAACGCUAGCGGCAGGCUUAACACAUGCAAGUCGAGGGGCAUCGGGAGUAGCAAUACUUGCCGGCGACCGGCGCAAGGGUGCGUAACGCGUGAGCAACAUGCCCGUAUCAGGGGGAUAAUCCAUGGAAACGUGGUCUAAUACCCCAUAGUAAUUAUGUAAGGCAUCUUAUAUAAUUUAAAGCUUUGGUGGAUACGGAUUGGCUCGCGUGACAUUAGCUGGAUGGUAAGGUAACGGCUUACCAUGGCUACGGUGUCUAGGGGUUCUGAGAGGAAGGUCCCCCACACUGGAACUGAGACACGGUCCAGACUCCUACGGGAGGCGGCAGUGAGGAAUAUUGGACAAUGGAUGGAAAUCUGAUCCAGCCAUGCCGCGUGCAGGAAAGACGGCCCUAUGGGUUGUAAACUGCUUUUGUAUGGGAGCAAUAAGGGCUACGUGUAGUCCGAUGAGAGUACCAUACGAAUAAGCACCGGCUAACUCCGUGCCAGCAGCAGC
rnacentral:rRNA from 1 species